AUGUUUCGUACGCUUGUUCAACAGAUGCAAAUCUUUGUCAAGACCACAAAUAGCAGGACUUACACUCUUAAGGUCAAGAGUUCAAAUAAGAUCGAGGAUGUCGAGGCUAAAAUGCGUGAUCACCAUCUAGAUGUGCAGGGUCUUAUCUUUGCUGGCAAGAAGCUGGUGUAUGGCCGCACCCUGGCAGAUUACAACAUUAAGAAUCUGAGCACCCUACAGCUUGUCCUUCACCUGCGUAUUUCUGUCAAGACGCUGACUGGCAAAAUCAUUGAUCUUGCGGUUAAGAGUUCAAAUACCAUCAAGCACGUCAAGGCGAUGAUUCAGAGUCAGGAGAACAUUCCUUGGGAUAAUCAGGGUCUCAUCUUUGCCGGCAAGCGGCUGGAGGAUGGCCCCACCCUGGCAGAUUACAACAUUGAGACUUUGUGCACCUUUGAGCUUGUCCCUUUCCUGCAUGUGACAGUCAAGAUGGUGAACGGCGAGAGCAUUGAUCUUGCGGUUUUGAGUUCAGAUACAAUCGAGGAUAUCAAGGCGAUGGUUUAUGAUCAGGAGGGCAUUCCUUCGUGCAUGCAGCGCUUCAUCUUUGCCGGCAGGGUGCUCGAGGAUGAGCGUACCCUGGCGGACUACAACAUUCACAAGUCCUGGCGCUGCAUGCUUCACCUUGUCCUGGGCUUCCGUAGGUAUGGAGUGAUUCGCAUCAAGACGCUGACUGGCAAGACCAUUUCUCCUGCGGUUGGCACUCAAGACACGGUUGAGGAUGUCAAGGCGAUGAUUCACAAGGAGGAGGGGAUUCCCCCAUCCCAGCAGUGCCUCUUCUUUGCUGGAAGCCACUGCACAAUGACCACACCCUGGAGAGCUACCUCAGCGGGGAUUUGA
rnacentral:rRNA from 1 species